AACGAACGCUGGCGGCAUGCCUAACACAUGCAAGUCGAACGAGACCUUCGGGUCUCGUGGUGCACGGGUGCGUAACGCGUGGGAACCUGCCCUUAGGUUCGGAAUCUCUCCCCGAAAGGGGUGCUACUACCGGAUAAUGUCUUCGGUCCAACGAUCUAUCGGCUUUGGAUGGGCCCGCGGUGGAUUAGCUAGUUGGUAGAGUAAAGGCCUGCCAAGGCGACGAUCCAUAGCUGGUCUGAGUGGAUGACCAGCAACACUGGGACUGGGACACGGCCCAGACUCCUAGGGAAGGCAGCAGGGGGGACUGUUGAACGAUGGGCGAAUGACUAAGGCAGCAGUGCCGCGUAGGUGAGGAAGGCGUUAGGAAUGGAAAGCUCGUUUACCGGGGAUGAGAAUGACGGUACCGGGAUAAAAAGCUCCGGCUAACUCCGUG
rnacentral:rRNA from 1 species